rnacentral:rRNA from 1 species
UACGUAGGGGGCGAGCGUUGUCCGGAAUUAUUGGGCGUAAAGAGCGUGUAGGCGGCCAGGUAGGUCCGUUGUGAAAACUCGAGGCUCAACCUCGAGCUGUCGAUGGAAACCAUCUGGCUAGAGUCCGGAAGAGGAGAGUGGAAUUCCUGGUGUAGCGGUGAAAUGCGUAGAUAUCAAGAGGAACACCUGCGGCGAAGGCGGGUUGCUGGGCCGACACUGACGCUGAGGCGCGAAAGCUAGGGGAGCGAACGGG